GACACCGUAACUUCGGGAGAAGGUGUGCUCUUUGCCGUGUAGAUCCUCGCGGUUGAAGCGGUGGGGAGUCGCAGUGAAGUGGCCCAGGCGACUGUUUAAUAAAAACACAGCACUCUGCAAACGUCACAAGCGGACGUAUAGGGUGUGAAGCCUGCCCGGUGCCGGAAGGUUAAGGGGAGGGGUCAGCGCAAGCGAAGCUCUGAACUGAAGCCCCGGUAAACGGCGGCCGUAACAAUAACGGUCCUAAGGUAGCGAAAUUCCUUGUCGGGUAAGUUCCGACCUGCACGAAAGGCGAAACGAUCUGGGCGCUGUCUCCACGGGGGGCUCAGCGAAUCUGUAGUACCGGUGAAGAUGCCGGUUUCCCGCACCUAGACGGAUAGACCCUGUGCACCUUUACUACGACUUGUCACUGGAUCUUGGCGCUGUAUGUGCAGGAUAGGUGGGAGGCUGUGAAGUCGGGGCGUUAGCCUCGAUGGAGCCGUCGGUGAGAUACCACCCUUACUGCUCUGAGGUUCUAACCUGGAGCCGUGAAUCCGGCUCGGGGACACUGGCAGGCGGGUAGUUUGACUGGGGCGGUCGCCUCACAAACUGUAACUGAGGCGCCCAAAGGUUCCCUCAGGCUGAUUGGAAACCAGCCGGAGAGUGCAAAGGCACAAGGGAGCUUGACUGCGAGACCAACAAGUCGAGCAGGGACGAAAGUCGGGCUUAGUGAUCCGGCGAUCCCGUAUGGAAGGGUCGUCGCUCAACGGAUAAAAGGUACGCCGGGAUAACAGGCUGAUCCUGCCCAAGAGUUCACAUCGACGGCGGGGUUUGGCACCUCGAUGUCGGCUCAUCGCAUCCUGGGGCUGAAGCAGGUCCCAAGGGUUCGGCUGUUCGCCGAUUAAAGCGGUACGUGAGCUGGGUUUAGAACGUCGCGAGACAGUUCGGUCCCUAUCUGGUGUGGGCGGAGGACACUUGAGAAGAGCUGUCCUUAGUACGAGAGGACCAGGACGGACGGACCUCCAGUAUGCCAGUUGUCGCGCCAGCGGCAGCGCUGGGUAACUGUGUCCGGAUUGGAUAACCGCUGAAUGCAUCUAAGCGGGAAGCCAACUUCAAGAUUAGGUGUCCCGGGCGCAAGCCCCUAAAGGCCCCUGGUAGAUGACCAGGUUGAUAGGCGGGAGGUGGAAGCGCGGCGACGCGUGUAGCUGACCCGUACUAAUCGGCCGUGCGGCUUGACCAC
rnacentral:rRNA from 1 species